rfam:Cuculus canorus isolate BGI_N303 unplaced genomic scaffold scaffold100, whole genome shotgun sequence.
GCCGAGACUAGAGUCACAUCUGGACACUUGCCUGUUGUCCUGGUGUGCUAGAGUACUCGGACAGUAACCACUAAUCUAUAUUCACUGGCUGUGACCAUUCUUGACUCAGUCAGUCACCAGGUUAGUGACAAAA